CUACCUUCACCAUUUACCCCUGAUAAAUUGUCCACGUUUAUAUUUGGGAAUCAUAUUGACAGGUCAUGAAAAUGAGACCAAAAGAUCUCUGGAAGCGAUUAAUGAUAAAAUUUCAUGGAGAAGAAGGCCUUGACUACGGAGGGGUUGCCAGGUUCAUGUUGCUGAGGAGGCAGAGGGCUGAGUUCUUCCAUCCAUCGCCUUCAAGUGUCAGGCGGCUUCCGGUUGGACAAGAUGGCUACCCCAGUGGGCUUGUUUCCUCUCUGGUCUCUUUUUCUGUCUAAGACUCACUCCAUACCAGCCUGAGCUUGGGACCAUUGUUUUGC
rnacentral:lncRNA from 1 species